GACGUAGGGCGCGAGCGUUGUCCGGAUUUAUUGGGCGUAAAGAGCUCGUAGGCGGUUUGUCGCGUCUGCUGUGAAAUCCCGAGGCUCAACCUCGGGCCUGCAGUGGGUACGGGCAGACUAGAGGCAGGUAGGGGAGAAUGGAAUUCCCGGUGUAGCGGUGAAAUGCGCAGAUAUCGGGAGGAACACCGGUGGCGAAGGCGGUUCUCUGGGCCUGACCUGACGCUGAGGAGCGAAAGCGUGGGGAGCGAACAGG
rnacentral:rRNA from 1 species